GGUUAAGCGACUAAGCGUACACGGUGGAUGCCUAGGCAAUCAGAGGCGAUGAAGGACGUGCUAAUCUGCGAUAAGCGUCGGUAAGGUGAUAUGAACCGUGAUAACCGACGAUUUCCGAAUGGGGAAACCCAGUGCAAUCCGUUGCACUAUCGUUUGAUGAAUACAUAGUCAAACGAAGCGAACCGGGGGAACUGAAACAUCUCAGUACCCCGAGGAAAAGAAAUCAACCGAGAUUCCCCUAGUAGCGGCGAGCGAACGGGGAGCAGCCCAGAGUCUUAAUCAGCAUUAGCAUCAGGAGAACGGUCUGGAAAGGCCGGCAGUAAAGGGUGAUAGCCCCGUAUCCGAAGGUGUUAGUGUUGUGAACUCGACGAGUAGGGCGGGACACGUGUUAUCCUGUCUGAAUAUGGGGGGACCAUCCUCCAAGGCUAAAUACUCCUGAUUGACCGAUAGUGAACCAGUACCGUGAGGGAAAGGCGAAAAGAACCCCGGCGAGGGGAGUGAAAUAGAACCUGAAACCGUGUACGUACAAGCAGUGGGAGCACCUUUAGGGGUGUGACUGCGUACCUUUUGUAUAAUGGGUCAGCGACUUAUAUUCUGUAGCAAGGUUAACCGUAUAGGGGAGCCGUAGGGAAACCGAGUCUUAACUGGGCGAAUGAGUUGCAGGGUAUAGACCCGAAACCCGGUGAUCUAGCCAUGGGCAGGUUGAAGGUUGGGUAACACUAACUGGAGGACCGAACCGACUAAUGUUGAAAAAUUAGCGGAUGACUUGUGGCUGGGGGUGAAAGGCCAAUCAAACCGGGAGAUAGCUGGUUCUCCCCGAAAGCUAUUUAGGUAGCGCCUCGUGAACUCAUCUUCGGGGGUAGAGCACUGUUUCGACUAGGGGGUCAUCCCGACUUACCAACUCGAUGCAAACUACGAAUACCGAAGAAUGUUAUCACGGGAGACACACGGCGGGUGCUAACGUUCGUCGUGAAGAGGGAAACAACCCAGACCGCCAGCUAAGGUCCCAAAGUCAUAGUUAAGUGGGAAACGAAGUGGGAAGGCUCAGACAGCCAGGAUGUUGGCUUAGAAGCAGCCAUCAUUUAAAGAAAGCGUAAUAGCUCACUGGUCGAGUCGGCCUGCGCGGAAGAUGUAACGGGGCUAAACUAUGCACCGAAGCUGCGGCAGCGAUAUGUAAAUAUUGUUGGGUAGGGGAGCGUUCUGUAAGCCUGUGAAGGUGUACUGUGAGGUAUGCUGGAGGUAUCAGAAGUGCGAAUGCUGACAUAAGUAACGAUAAUGCGGGUGAAAAACCCGCACGCCGGAAGACCAAGGGUUCCUGUCCAACGUUAAUCGGGGCAGGGUGAGUCGACCCCUAAGGCGAGGCAGAAAUGCGUAGUCGAUGGGAAACGGGUUAAUAUUCCCGUACUGGUGAUAAUUGCGAUGGGGGGACGGAGAAGGCUAGGCUAUCCGGGCGACGGUUGUCCCGGUUUAAGGAUGUAGGCAGGUGAAUUAGGCAAAUCCGGUUCACUACAUGCUGAGGUCCGAUGACGAGUCACUACGGUGAUGAAGUAGCUCAUGCCCCGCUUCCAGGAAAAGCCUCUAAGCUCUAGAUUAUCAUUAAUCGUACCCCAAACCGACACAGGUGGUCAGGUAGAGAAUACUCAGGCGCUUGAGAGAACUCGGGUGAAGGAACUAGGCAAAAUGGUGCCGUAACUUCGGGAGAAGGCACGCUGGCGCUAGGUGAAGUCCCUCGCGGAUGGAGCUGAAGCCAGUCGCAGAUACCAGCUGGCUGCAACUGUUUAUUAAAAACACAGCACUGUGCAAACACGAAAGUGGACGUAUACGGUGUGACGCCUGCCCGGUGCUGGAAGGUUAAUUGAUGGGGUUAUCCGUAAGGAGAAGCUCUUGAUCGAAGCCCCAGUAAACGGCGGCCGUAACUAUAACGGUCCUAAGGUAGCGAAAUUCCUUGUCGGGUAAGUUCCGACCUGCACGAAUGGCGUAAUGAUGGCCAGGCUGUCUCCACCCGAGACUCAGUGAAAUUGAACUCGCUGUGAAGAUGCAGUGUACCCGCGGCAAGACGGAAAGACCCCGUGAACCUUUACUAUAGCUUGACACUGAACAUUGAGCCUUGAUGUGUAGGAUAGGUGGGAGGCUUUGAAGUGUGGACGCCAGUCUGCAUGGAGCCAACCUUGAAAUACCACCCUUUAAUGUUUGAUGUUCUAACGUAGCCCCGUUAUCCGGGGUGCGGACAGUGUCUGGUGGGUAGUUUGACUGGGGCGGUCUCCUCCCAAAGAGUAACGGAGGAGCACGAAGGUUGGCUAAGCAUGGUCGGACAUCAUGCGGUUAGUGCAAAGGCAUAAGCCAGCUUGACUGCGAGAGUGACGGCUCGAGCAGGUACGAAAGUAGGUCUUAGUGAUCCGGUGGUUCUGAAUGGAAGGGCCAUCGCUCAACGGAUAAAAGGUACUCCGGGGAUAACAGGCUGAUACCGCCCAAGAGUUCAUAUCGACGGCGGUGUUUGGCACCUCGAUGUCGGCUCAUCACAUCCUGGGGCUGAAGUAGGUCCCAAGGGUACGGCUGUUCGCCGUUUAAAGUGGUACGCGAGCUGGGUUUAGAACGUCGUGAGACAGUUCGGUCCCUAUCUGCCGUGGGCGUUGGAAGAUUGAAAGGGGCUGCUCCUAGUACGAGAGGACCGGAGUGGACGCACCACUGGUGUUCGGGUUGUCAUGCCAAUGGCAUUGCCCGGUAGCUAAGUGCGGAAGAGAUAACCGCUGAAAGCAUCUAAGCGGGAAACUUGCCUUGAGAUGAGUCUUCCCUGACUCUUUAAGGGUCCUAAAGGAACGUUUAAGACUAAGACGUUGAUAGGUUGGGUGUGUAAGCGUAGCGAUA
rnacentral:rRNA from 1 species